rnacentral:rRNA from 1 species
CCUACGGGUGGCUGCAGUGGGGAAUAUUGGGCAAUGGGCGCAAGCCUGACCCAGCAACGCCGCGUGAAGGAAGAAGGCUUUCGGGUUGUAAACUUCUUUUCUCAGGGACGAAGAAAGUGACGGUACCUGAGGAAUAAGCCACGGCUAACUACGUGCCAGCAGCCGCGGUAAUACGUAGGUGGCAAGCGUUAUCCGGAUUUAUUGGGUGUAAAGGGCGUGUAGGCGGGAGCGCAAGUCAGAUGUGAAAACUCAGGGCUCAACCCUGAGCCUGCAUUUGAAACUGUGUUUCUUGAGUGCUGGAGAGGCAAUCGGAAUUCCGUGUGUAGCGGUGAAAUGCGUAGAUAUACGGAGGAACCCCGAUUGCGAAGGCAGCCUGCCGGGGUGCGACUGACGCUGAGGCUCGAAGGUGCGGGUAUCAAACAGGAUUAGAUACCCUGGUAGUC